GCCUGACCCACUCAUCUCCACACUUUCAGACCAAAACUUUUCUCCACAACACCAGCUGCUAAUCCUGAGUUGAAAUGUAGGCCCACAUUUAUUGUAUUUAGUUUUUCAUUCUAGAUUGGAGUUAGCGAUUACAUACACCAAUUGAGUACAAAACACAAAAAACAUUGAAGACAAGAAUGCUCAAAGGGCACCUGCGGGCUACAUUCUUAUCUCAGAUAUGAUUUAAUCUUUUUUAAUUUCUAGGAUCUUCAAAGCGAAGGGGGCAAUGUGGGUCAGCCUGUCAUUGAAUUACAAGAAAUGAAACAAUCUCGUAAGAAAAAGAAGCGCCAAGUUGAUGGGUCAAAUCGCAUCAGCACUAUGGACGCCUAUGAGUCGCUGCCUUCCAGUAGCGCCGCGGCCGCCCCUCAGUUGCAUCAUCGCUGACGUCUGCAGUUACGCUUGGUUUUAGUUGGACAUGCAUUUCCAAUUGAUUUCCCUUUUAAUUUAAAUGUUCUGUAAAGCUAUCCUCUUGAAUCUUCUUUCGGCCGUUCCCAUGUAAGCCUAUACAUACAAUACUCCUGCAUAAGAACAAUUAAAACACGGUACAACAUGUUAAAACACUUUGAAAAUGGUUUAAUGAUGUUGACAACAAAAGAGAACUGUACAGUUUACAGUAAAAGAUCUUUAUAUGUGUAUAAAAAAAACAAAAAAAAUACAGCAGACAAAUGCAUCAAAAUAUCGACUACGUAUCCUGAUUCACAUACGGUUUCUACCCAAGCUUCCUUUUCUACGUCUCCGACCCUGAAGGCCUUUUGUGGUCGCAUCAGAAGGGGGUCUCCCUCCCUUCUAUUUCUGCUGAGCAGGAUUCGCAUCCGUAGUGACACCGAAAGACUCAGGUUUCAGGUUCACGACGACAGUGUGGGUAUUUAGAGUUCUAUGGACAGUCAGAUUCAGAUUUAGAAGAGAAAAUGAGAACUGGGAGCCAUUCCUUUAGUUUCGGCCCCGACUCACCAACAGAGAACGCAAUGCCUUUACAGAAUGCCUUCCCCUCCAGAUACACAAACAGAAGAAAUAUGUACAUGUUUACCUUAUUUUUUUUCCUUUUCUUAUUCUUUUAACCAUGUUCACUUGGGAUGGGGACCGAUAUCACACACGCACAUACACACAACACACCCAAAAACAUACAAAAAUACUAUUUCUUUAACCUACCAAGAGUAAGACAGUUCUGCAAUUAGUUCCAUGCUGUGAAAGAAAAAAGAGAUACGACUAACAAGAAGUUGAACAGACCUUUUUUAACCCCCACUUAGGUUUCUCAGAAAUAUACCAAAAUAUACAUCUAAGCUUUGGAAUUACUGAGGCUAUGACAAAAGCCAGUGCUGGGUUUGUCUCUUAAUACACAAGCUGUGGGUUGAAGGACCGAGAGAGAUCAAGAGACACAGAACAGAGAGUCAUCUUUGGUAUCUGCAUUUGUCAAAAGUUAAAUAUUUGGAUUUUUGCUUUGGGAUAUCGGCUUGUGAGAUCCUGCGACCACACGUGUAACAAUAGCUUUGAGAUAAAAAAAACACCAACAACAACAACAACAAAGAAGAAACGGCGUCACCGAAACUCGCCGGGGCCAGAAGUCAGGUGCCCCGUGAGCCAGUAGGACGCAGCUCCGGCAGGGUGCUGCAUCGUGAUGCAUAGUGUCACAGCGGAGCCCCCCCAAGACACAAGAGAGACAUGAGGUCAAAAGCGAAGCUUGGACAACAAGAGAGUGAAGCGGUAGAAUUCUGCGGGAAACCGACAAGACGUGCACCCCGGGAUCACGACGAGCACGCUAGGGAAUACAGUGAACGGGGGGCACAGACAGACGCAGUGUGUACGGAAGAGGCAGCGACAGAGCAUCUACGGGGUAAGGUCUUUAGGAAAGGGACAAAAAGUAACCUAUAGCAACAGCGAUGAAGACAGACAGAUAUUAGGUCCUGAGCAUUUACAGUGUGCACAGGAUUAACCCUCAGUGUGUAUUAACAAAUAUCACGCAGCCAUCACCGGAUUGGUUUACUUUUGAUCUGCUGGAGAAGCCCAUGAAUACCCACCCUAACUGUACCACUCCCAUGUCAGCAGACACGACUGUCUUUGGGCUCAAAAUGCUAAACCAACACCGAUGGGCACUUGGGUUGCAAUGUGAUGUCAAGCAGUGGCCGGAAGCCAGGGAGGGGUAAAGGUACUUCCACAUACAAUCACUAUUAGUCUUUGGUUAAUGUUGUUGUUACCACAGAAAAGAGCACUACAAACAGAGCUGUGAUAUACGAAUCACCCAGGGAGACUUAUACAUGUACCAUAACGGAAUCAAACAAGAAAGGAUUGUCAAAUCAUAGGAAUAUAUGUUAUAUAGGGUGGCGGGGCAUAGAAAAGCAUUCCAUUACUUAAAAACACAAAACAUAACCAAAAAUAUUUUAAGCAAGGCGUGUGGUUUUGCUCUGACGCAUAUAAAAAUAAAAUGAAUAAAUUAUAUACAUAUAUCUUACAAUAAAACAUUUUUAAAGACUGCUUGAAAAAUAAAUGUAAACCAUGAGGGUUUACUUGUGACCUCGAGG
ensembl:lncRNA